AACUGCUUUUAUGCGGGAAUAAAGUGAUUUACGUGUAUAUCAUUGCAUGUACCGCAUGAAUAAGGACCGGCUAAUUCCGUGCCAGCAGCCGCGGUAAUACGGAAGGUUCGGGCGUUAUCCGGAUUUAUUGGGUUUAAAGGGAGCGUAGGCUGAAUAUUAAGCGUGUUGUGAAAUGUAGUUGCUCAACAUCUGCACUGCAGCGCGAACUGGUAUUCUUGAGUGUGCGCGACGUAGGCGGAAUUCGUGGUGUAGCGGUGAAAUGCUUAGAUAUCACGAAGAACUCCGAUUGCGAAGGCAGCUUACGAGAGCACAACUGACGCUUAAGCUCGAAGGUGCGGGUAUCGAACAGGAUUAGAUACCCUGGUAGUCC
rnacentral:rRNA from 1 species